CCUACGGGAGGCAGCAGUGGGGAAUUUUGGACAAUGGGGGCAACCCUGAUCCAGCAAUGCCGCGUGAGUGAAGAAGGCCUUCGGGUUGUAAAGCUCUUUUGUCAGGGAAGAAACGGUGGACUCUAACAUAGUCUACUAAUGACGGUACCUGAAGAAUAAGCACCGGCUAACUACGUGCCAGCAGCCGCGGUAAUACGUAGGGUGCAAGCGUUAAUCGGAAUUACUGGGCGUAAAGCGUGCGCAGGCGGUUAUAUAAGUCAGAUGUGAAAUCCCCGGGCUCAACCUGGGAACUGCAUUUGAGACUGUAUGGCUAGAGUGUGUCAGAGGGGGGUUAGAAUUCCACGUGUAGCAGUGAAAUGCGUAGAUAUGUGGAGGAAUACCGAUGGCGAAGGCAGCCCCCUGGGAUAACACUGACGCUCAUGCACGAAAGCGUGGGGAGCAAACAGGAUUAGAUACCCUGGUAGUCCACGCCCUAAACGAUGUCUACUAGUUGUCGGGUCUUAAUUGACUUGGUAACGCNGCUACGCGNGAGUAGACCGCCGNGGGAGGUACGGUCGCGAGAGUUAAACGUUAAGUAGUAGUUAGACGNGUGAGAGUGCCGACGGACGACGACGAGGGAGGAGG
rnacentral:rRNA from 1 species